GCCGCUAGCAGCUGGCGGUGGCGGUGGCGCGAGCCCCGCCGCUGCUGCGUCCGCCCCGACGUCGGAGGAGCAGCAGCAGCAGCAGCACGGCCCGGUCAAGGAAGGGGGAGACGACGACGCGGCGGCCGUGGUUGUUGCCGUGCAGGAGGAGGAGGAGGACGAGGCGAAGCCCCAGCUGCUGCGUGAAGAUGACUCAGAAGCAGAAAUCCAAGAGCAUGAACAGAAGAUAAACAAAUAUCAAGCUAUACUUGCAGCCCGUUUGAAGGCCAAAUACUUCUCUAAUAAGGAUUUUGAUGGAGGAAAUGUCUUUGAAGCAGAAGCCACUGUUGAAGGAGAAACUAUUCAGUCCAGCAGGUGGCCAUGUACAAGAUCAUUUGCAAACCCAGUAAAUUUUUUUCAAGAGAAGAACAGCCGUGAGAGGAGUGAUUCUCCAUCCUUGACAGCAGAUUCCUCCGCCAAGAACAAUUCUCCUAGAAUAGAUUCCUCACCAAAGAAUAGUGCAAACACUUUGGCCACAGAGAACAAUCUAACACCUGGAAAGAGACAACUAUCCAAGAAGACCUGAUGGAUAACAGUAGGCUAGUUGGUUGUUUUCUGUUCCUCUGAAGUCUGAAGGUACGCAACCUGAAGCAUAUAAGUUACCUUGAAAGGCAAAUUCAACCUGCGCAUGUUUGUGGGCAAUGCUAGAUUCAUUCACUGGGGUUCCAGUAACAUCUGUAGCAAGAAACAUUGUAUUUGUGGUUGAUGUAUUAUAGACUAUUUCUGGUGAAGCAUUCAUUGGUUGCCGAAACCUGUGCUCCAAACUUAGGUUCUAUUUUGAAUGUAACUGUUCAAUUUAUCUGUGACUACAUACUCCUUGACAACCGAGUAGAUGAAAGCAUGAAGCAGGUCGCUUACACUAUGAUUGAUGAUCCAGGGAGACA